UUACUGAGUUGAAAAACUCCAACCCCUGUGAACUUACCUAUUACGUUGCUUCGGCGGCUUCGGCCGCCGGAGGUUACAAACUCUUGUUUUUUACCAUGUAUCUCUGAGAUUAUAAACAAAUAAUCAAAACUUUCAACAACGGAUCUCUUGGUUCUGGCAUCGAUGAAGAACGCAGCGAAAUGCGAUAAGUAAUGUGAAUUGCAGAAUUCAGUGAAUCAUCGAAUCUUUGAACGCACAUUGCGCCCGCCGGUAUUCCGGCGGGCAUGCCUGUUCGAGCGUCAUUUCACCACUCAAGCCCAGCUUGGUGUUGGGGCACCCGGGAGCCGAGAGGCGCCCGGGGCCCCCAAGUACAUCGGCGGUCUCGCCUGGACCCUGAACGCAGUAACUCGCGGUAAAACGCGCUUCGUUUGGCGGACUCCUAGCGGGCACUUGCCGCUAAACCCCCCUUUUUCUAAGGUUGACCUCGGAUCAGGUAGGAAUACCCGCUGAACUUAAGCAUAUCAAUAAGCGGAGGAAAAGAAACCAACAGGGAUUGCCCUAGUAACGGCGAGUGAAGCGGCAACAGCUCAAAUUUGAAAUCUGGCCCUAGGCCCGAGUUGUAAUUUGCAGAGGAUGCUUUUGGUGACGCGCCUACCGAGUCCCCUGGAAUGGGGCGCCACAGAGGGUGAGAGCCCCGUAUGGUUUGCCGCCGAGCCUCUGUAAAGCUCCUUCGACGAGUCGAGUAGUUUGGGAAUGCUGCUCUAAAUGGGAGGUAAAUUUCUUCUAAAGCUAAAUACCGGCCAGAGACCGAUAGCGCACAAGUAGAGUGAUCGAAAGAUGAAAAGCACUUUGAAAAGAGGGUUAAAUAGCACGUGAAAUUGUUGAAAGGGAAGCGCUUGUGACCAGACUUGCGCCGGGCGGAUCAUCCAGCGUUCUCGCUGGUGCACUCCGUCCGGCUCAGGCCAGCAUCGGUUUUCGCCGGGGGACAAAAGCUUCGGGAACGUAGCUCCCUUCGGGGAGUGUUAUAGCCCGUUGCAUAAUACCCCGGCGG
rnacentral:misc_RNA from 1 species